AAUAGUAUAUUCCAUAUACUAUAUUUAAGCUAAAUAAGUUAAGCUAGAAAUGAGUAAAUAUAAUAUUUGAAGUAAAAGGUCUUUUUACAGGAUUUCAAAGUUUUAGAAAAAUAAGCGUAAAAUUGCCAUUUAUUAAAUUGUUUUUAAUAAAUUGGGUAUUUAUGUUACUUCAACAACUUUGCAAGGGUAUAUAUGAUAUUAAUAAUUUUGCAAGGGGAGUGUUGGAUGAAGUACGAUAACUUACCGAAUUGCUCUCUCGUAUCGAUCUGCAAAGGCGCUACUUGAAAUGCAAAACUGGAGAGCAUUGUUGGAGAAAGAUCAGCUGCGAGUCAAGCAAAGAAGGGGCCGCGUAUUCCGAGGAUGGAAUGAAGGGAAGAUAUACUUUCCGCCAACGUGUGUGACCGGAUACUAUGACAUGGUCGAGGUCUUCAUCAGUUAUCAUACGUGCGUGGCGAAUCAAGAUUUUCGGAUCAUAGGCCCGUGUACAGCAUAUUUUGGGUUGAGGUUCAAUCGGCCCAAAGCCGUUUUAGAAUAAGCAUGAGCUCUAGACUCGACUAUGGCGAGGCAUUGUUGCCAUACUCGCAUGGCUAUACCGAACUAUGCUUUUUUAACCGCCAACAAAACAAAUGGAACACACAAAGGCCGAUUUUCAUUCGUUAGGUUCGCGCCACAAAUCAUGUGUCAUCAUAUCUAACCAUCAGCUUCUGAUUGCGGCCCGCCAGCUCUCGCCACUAAACACGAGGUUACAAUGGCUUUGCCAUAUGCUGGUGCAUCAUAUCCUCAUCACACCACCAAAUGGGAGAUCAAGAUGAUGAUUUCUGUCAUUUUAUAAAUUUUAUUCAUGAUUCUUUGUAGAUUUGCCUCUAAUGAGUAAUAAAGUAUUUUUUAUCUCAAUGAGCGUGUUGUGAAGCGGCAUAAAUGAAAGUAAAUGUUUUGAGUUAGCUUAAAUUAUUGAAACCCAAAUAUUGUAGAUAUCGUUCUGUUUAACUCUGUGUAUGGAAUUGGUCAAUA